rnacentral:rRNA from 1 species
AGAGUUUGAUCCUGGCUCAGAUUGAACGCUGGCGGCACGCCUAACACAUGCAAGUCGAGCGGCAGCACGAUGUGUAGCAAUACACAUUGGUGGCGAGCGGCGGACGGGUGAGGAAUACGUAGGAACCUACCCUCAAGCGGGGGACAACCAAGGGAAACUUUGGCUAAUACCGCAUAAUCUCGCGAGAGAAAAGCUACCCGCAAGGGCGGCACUUGAGGAGGGGCCUGCGUCCGAUUAGCUAGUUGGUGAGGUAAUAGCUCACCAAGGCGAUGAUCGGUAACUGGUCUGAGAGGACGACCAGUCACACUGGGACUGAGACACGGCCCAGACUCCUACGGGAGGCAGCAGUGGGGAAUAUUGGACAAUGGGGGCAACCCUGAUCCAGCGAUGCCGCGUGAGUGAAGAAGGCCCUCGGGUCGUAAAGCUCUUUAGGUUGGGAAGAAGGGUGUGUGGUGAAUAGCCAUGCAUUUUGACGGUACCGACAGAAUAAGCACCGGCAAACUCUGUGCCAGCAGCCGCGGUA